UGAGGUAGUAGGUUGUAUAGUUAGGGGUGUAAACCCCAUGAAUGAAAAAAACUGUACAAUCUACUGUCUUGAC
rnacentral:pre_miRNA from 1 species